rnacentral:rRNA from 1 species
UACGUAGGGGGGCUAGCGUUUGUCCGGAAUCAUUGGGCGUAAAGCGCGUGUAGGCGGUCCGGUAAGUCCGCUGUGAAAGUCGGGGGCUCAACCCUCGGAUGCCGGUGGAUACUGUCGGGCUUGAGUACGGAAGAGGCGAGUGGAAUUCCUGGUGUAGCGGUGAAAUGCGCAGAUAUCAGGAGGAACACCAAUUGCGAAGGCAGCUCGCUGGGACGUUACUGACGCUGAGACGCGAAAGCGUGGGGAGCAAACAGG